rnacentral:rRNA from 1 species
UACGUAGGGACCAAGCGUUGUUCGGAUUCACUGGGUUUAAAGGGUGCGUAGGUGGGUUGGUAAGUCAGUGGUGAAAUCUCCAGGCUUAACUUGGAAACUGCCAUUGAUACUAUCAAUCUUGAAUACCGUGGAGGUCAGCGGAAUAUGUCAUGUAGCGGUGAAAUGCUUAGAUAUGACAUAGAACACCAAUUGCGAAGGCAGCUGGCUACACGAAUAUUGACACUGAUGCACGAAAGCGUGGGGAUCAAACAGG